CUUUCCAUCACGAUUUUUUGGCAUUAACAUUCAAUUAUUUAUUUUAUUUCAUAAAUUUUCAUUAACUUAGUUUUUCCUUCAACACAUUUGGAUGCACAAAACUUUUCCCGUCUUGGGUAUUUGUGUACAUCUACUUUUUUUUUUUGCGGCUUUUGAAUUUUCAGCACCUUCUGGUCCGAGUUUAAGCGCCUGCAAGAGCUGAAUGAGAAUAUCAAGCCCUCCAAGCGUAAUUUUGGCAUGAAAUAAAAAGCUCCUCCUAAAAAUCCAUCAUACCACAAAUUAAAGAAAGAGUUCAGUAAAUUUCAAUCAUUUGGUGGCAUAUUUAAGUUUGCAAACAUCCCGCAAAUGCAAAUCAAAGUUUUUUGUUCAAAAGCUUCUUGGAACGGUGCCAUUACGAUAUGAAUUGUGGUUGUGUUAUUAAGCAUUGUACAUAUUAUUAAAGAAAACACUGACACUCAUAAUCAAACUUUUUGGAUUGUGAUGUUAAGCAGACAUCUUACGGUAGAGUUCAAAGAAAAGCUAUCCAAUUAUGUGGUACAUAAGAAGUUUCGGGAAAAAAAUUAGGGAAACUAAUGAAGCCUUGCAGCUAAGCGCAAGAUAAAGGUGCAACGGUAAAAGCGACCAGAAUGUCCGAUAGUUAAGCCUUCUACAAAUUGGUUACGAUACUUUGAUAGAGGAGAGGCUAUCAUGCCCAGAUAUUCAAGAUCAUCGAUCUUAAUCAUGUGGCAACGACCAAACUGAGCGACAACAUGCUCUUGUAUCUUCCCUUUAACUGCCGUGGUGCUUAUAGCCGAAUUUGGUGCUUCCAACGGAGCGGAGGCCUUUCCCUUCCUCUGCUCACACACUAUCUCACACUGCUCAUCAUUCCAUCGGCUGCGGUAUUUGCCAUUCCCAACUCGUAGAGAACCGUAAAAUACGCUCGACAGGACCUUAUAUGCGAUAUUAAGGACUCUUAUUCAAUGGUAAUUGGCACAACCUGUCUUUUUGUAUCAUAAUCUGCGAAGGUUAGCAUAAUGCCAUCAAAAUUAACUCAAUAAACUGUGUUUAUUUUUUGGUUGGCAAACAAAAUAUAGUUACUGGUUAUUUUGAUAAUAGUAUAAGUCAGUCUGUUCACAAAGUUUUGCAAAGUAGUUAGUAAUUUUGUCAUGUCUACGAAC
rnacentral:lncRNA from 1 species